GACUGUAGCGCUACCAUUCUGGGAACACCCCAUUCUUUCUGAUGUUGGAAGCUAAGCAGGGUUGGGCUUGGUUAGUACUUGGAUGGGGUACUGCCUGGGAACACCAAAUGCCACAAGAU
rnacentral:rRNA from 1 species